rnacentral:rRNA from 1 species
GACGAACGCUGGCGGCGUGCUUAACACAUGCAAGUCGAACGGAAAGGCCCUUCGGGGUACUCGAGCGGCGAACGGGUGAGUAACACGUGAGUAACCUGCCCCAGACUUUGGGAUAACCCUCGGAAACGGGGGCUAAUACCGGAUACGACACAGCUUCGCAUGGGGUCUGUGUGGAAAGUUUUUCGGUUUGGGAUGGGCUCGCGGCCUAUCAGCUUGUUGGUGGGGUGAUGGCCUACCAAGGCGACGACGGGUAGCUGGCCUGAGAGGGCGACCGGCCACACUGGGACUGAGACACGGCCCAGACUCCUACGGGAGGCAGCAGUGGGGAAUAUUGCACAAUGGGCGGAAGCCUGAUGCAGCGACGCCGCGUGAGGGAUGACGGCCUUCGGGUUGUAAACCUCUUUCAGCAGGGACGAAGCGUAAGUGACGGUACCUGCAGAAGAAGCGCCGGCCAACUACGUG